GACGAACGCUGGCGGCGUGCUUAACACAUGCAAGUCGAACGGAAAGGCCUCUUUCGGGGGGUACUCGAGUGGCGAACGGGUGAGUAACACGUGAGUAACCUGCCCUUGACUUUGGGAUAACUUCAGGAAACUGGGGCUAAUACCGGAUAGGAGCUCCUGCUGCAUGGUGGGGGUUGGAAAGCUUCGGCGGUUGGGGCUGGACUCGCGGCUUCUCAGCUUGCUGGUGGGGGAGUGGCUUACCAAGGCGUUGACGGGUAGCCGGCCGGGGAGGGUGACCGGCCACAUUGGGUCUGAGAUACGGCCCAGACUCCUACGGGAGGCAGCAGUGGGGAAUAUUGCACAAUGGGUGGAGGCCUGAUGCAGCAACGCCGUGGGCGGGAUGACGGCCUUCGGGUUGUAAGCCGCUUUCGCUCAUGACGAAGCUUUGUGUGACGGUAGUGGGUAAAGAAGCACCGGCUAACUACGUG
rnacentral:rRNA from 1 species